rnacentral:rRNA from 1 species
GACGAACGCUGGCGGCGUGCUUAACACAUGCAAGUCGAACGGAAAGGCCCUGCGUUUGUUGCGUGCUCGAUUGCCGAACGGGUGAGUAUCACGUGAGUAACCUCCCCUUGACUUUGUGAUAACUUCAGGAAACUGGGGCUAAUACCGGAUAGGAGCUCCUGCACCAUGUUGUUGGUUGGAAAGUUUCGGCCGUUGGGGAUCGAUGCGCGGCUUAUCCGCUUGUUUGUGGGGUAGUUGCUUACCAAGGCUUUGACGGAUAGCCUGCCUGAGAGGGGGACCGGGCACAAGGGGACUGCGAUACGGCCCAGAAUCCAACCGGACGCAGCAGUCGGGAAUAUUGCACAAUGGGGCGAAGCCUGAUGCAGAAACGUCGCGUGCGGGAUGACGGGCUUCGGGUUAUAAACAGAUUUCGCAGGUGAUGAGGCGUGAGUGACGGUAAUGGGUAAAGAAGCAACGGCUAACUACGUG